GAUUUGGGGGUUUUGCAAAUUUGGGGAUUUGUGUGGUGUUUAUGUCGUGGUGUGGUGGUGGAAGGUGGCAGUUGAGUGGAGGUGGAAGAGGGGAGGCAGCGCCGUUGCUGCCGUGUUGAUGUCGGAGAGGCGUUCCUCGCCGGAGAAGCAGUGGGCUGCUGCCGUGUUGAUCUGGAAGAUGUCGGAGAGACAUUUGCAAUUUUUUUUUGAGUAAACUCUUUAAAAUAUCAAAACGACGUCGUUUUGCCCACGUGGCUUGCCAGCGUGUAAAAAAAGCCACUCAAUAUGCCAUGUAAUGUCCACAUAAUCACCGGUCAAACUUAUUCCUCGCC
rnacentral:lncRNA from 1 species